rnacentral:rRNA from 1 species
CCUACGGGCGGCAGCAGUGGGGAAUAUUGGACAAUGGGGGCAACCCUGAUCCAGCCAUGCCGCGUGUGUGAAGAAGGCCCUCGGGUUGUAAAGCACUUUCAGUGAGGAAGAACGCCUGGUGGUUAAUACCCAUCAGGAAAGACAUCACUCACAGAAGAAGCACCGGCUAACUCCGUGCCAGCAGCCGCGGUAAUACGGAGGGUGCGAGCGUUAAUCGGAAUUACUGGGCGUAAAGCGCGCGUAGGUGGCUUGAUAAGCCGGUUGUGAAAGCCCCGGGCUCAACCUGGGAACGGCAUCCGGAACUGUCAAGCUAGAGUGCAGGAGAGGAAGGUAGAAUUCCCGGUGUAGCGGUGAAAUGCGUAGAGAUCGGGAGGAAUACCAGUGGCGAAGGCGGCCUUCUGGACUGACACUGACACUGAGGUGCGAAAGCGUGGGUAGCAAACAGGAUUAGAUACCCCAGUAGUC